AUUUUUACUCACGAUUAAAGUAAAUUAAUUUAUCAUCUAAUUUAAUAUACGCUUCGCCUUCUGCAUACGUCUCCUCCAUCUCCACUGGGUUCUCUUCUUCGAUUCCAAUCCCUUCUUGGAUUCUUAAAACCAUAUUUUUUCUUAUGCUUCUUUGAUUAUUGCUCAUCAACCUAUGUCUAACUGGAAUCCAAAAUUUAUACUUAAUUUGUCAAUAUCGUGAUGUUCACCUAAGGUGGGUGCUUAUCCUCUACACGAAAGAGGCUUUCAUGAUGGAAGUGUUGAAGAACUUCAGAAUCAACAACAAGGUAAUGUUGCUCGUAGAUAGAAAAACGGUGAGUUCAGGGGAAACUUGGUGUCGAAUUGGAUUUAUGGAUAAACCAUGUGGAACUUGGAUUAAGUUUGGUGAUAUGCGAUUCUGAUUUCAAGGUUAUGUCCACUUUAGGAUGUAUGUUGUGGCUCACGAGAAGCUUCAGAUUCCAAGGUAUGCUUAGCCAACGAAAUUUACAAAAUGUUAGAGGGUCAGAAGUCAGCCAGUGGAAAAAAUCAGGUUUGCUCUUUGGCUUCUUAUUUAUACAUUGCUUGCCGGCAAGAGGACAAGACAAGAUCCAUUACGAGUACCAAACAAUUUUGGUUUAUUUGUAUAUAUGUAUGUUAGACUGUUAGUCAUUGUUCUUCUUUCCUUUCUUAACUCAUGUCACUUUUACAAAAGAAUAAAUAGUCAAACAGUUGGCAGUUGGAGCUUGAAACUGGACAAUCUGUUGAAAUGGGAACCAUCCACGCCGGAGAUUUUAUGCGGCUCAAGAGUCUGUGCAGAAGUUAAAGGAGUUCAAUAUAAGGUUACAUCAUUAACCACUACUGUCUUGUCGUUUUUUAUGUUUUUGUCGAUUUUAUGAUUAUUCGUACGUGGAGCUUUUAACCCUUUGGUUGCAAGACGAAUCACAUACCUAUUGCAGCAGAAGUUAUAAACAACACAGCUCUCUGAUUAGAAGAAGCCUCUUUGAGGUGUAUUGGUUGCAACUGGACUAGCAGAAGAAACUAUAAGAAACUCUUACAUAGAUCUCUACCCUUACUUUUCCAAAAUCAAACCAACAGAUGGAAAAUUUUGAACCCUAGCCAGAAUGUCUUUUUUUUUUUUUUUGGACAAAACCAGGCCAGAAUGUCUAAUAUAGCUUUUGCCAGUGCCUUUUGAAAAUCUCUACUGUGUUGCAUUGGGGAUGAACAAUUGUCACCUUAACUAUGAAUCUAUGAGAUUGGGGGGUAUUUCCAACAGCAGGUGAGGGAUUUAGUAUUCCUAAACUUCUCCCCACAAGGAAUGGCACUUUCAUUUGUUUAGAGUCUUUCUAUGCCAAGCGAAUAUAUCAGUGGUAACUUGAGUUGCCGAAGAAAUUAUAGUAAACUCUUACGAAGAUCUCUACCCUCACCUUCAAAGUAAUCCUAUGUAAUUAUAUCUGGUUUAAACUUUAAAAUCUUUUCCAAGAGUUUAUUUCUUU